AUUGAACGCUGGCGGCAGGCUUAACACAUGCAAGUCGAGCGGGGUGAUGGUGCUUGCACUAUCACUUAGCGGCGGACGGGUGAGUAAUGCCUAGGAAUCUGCCAUUUAGUGGGGGACAACAUUCCGAAAGGAAUGCUAAUACAGCAUACGUCCUACGGGAGAAAGCAGGGGAUCUUCGGACCUUGCGCUAAAUGAUGAGCCUAAGUCGGAUUAGCUAGUUGGUGGGGUAAAGGCCUACCAAGGCGACGAUCUGUAGCGGGUCUGAGAGGAUGAUCCGCCACACUGGGACUGAGACACGGCCCAGACUCCUACGGGAGGCAGCAGUGGGGAAUAUUGGACAAUGGGCGGAAGCCUGAUCCAGCCAUGCCGCGUGUGUGAAGAAGGCCUUUUGGUUGUAAAGCACUUUAAGCGAGGAGGAGGCUACUAGUACUAAUACUACUGGAUAGUGGACGUUACUCGCAGAAUAAGCACCGGCUAACUCUGUGCCAGCAGCCGCCGUAA
rnacentral:rRNA from 1 species